GCUAGAGUGGGCAGGCUACCUUGUUUUAGGAUGAUGGUUUACUUACAAAUCGAUAAGCCGUCUAUUUUGUUUCUCAAUAGUCUAUUGCAAAGCAAAGGGAAAUGGACACUGUAGGCCAGCGGAGCAAGCGAGUGCCACUUCCUCCCGAUUCAGCACAUACCUGCCGCCAACUCGGGACCUCUGCCUUGCUAGCACACGUGACCGCCCUCCUGAAGCGGCGCCACGCUAAAAGCUAGCUAUUCGCUGGUGAAAGUGGAGACACUUGGCUGAGCACUCUCCCUUCUCUUGGAUUGAGCCUGUUCAGGUCGUAAAAGGGGCCCAGAAAGAGGAGGACGUCGAACCCAGACACCAAGACGGACCCCUGGCCUCCCCCUCCACCGGCUAGACUCCAGACUGCAGACACCCCUGCAUGGACCAGCACAAACCAGACACAGACAAUACCAGAGCAGCUCACUUUCACAGCUUUGAUUUACGUUAUAUAGAGGCCAGAGUUCACCUUCAUAUAAGACUGCCCAUUCUCAUAACCUCACUGCCCAACACUUUAACCAUGUAAAAAUGUCAAUGUAAUGCAAUGUAACCCCAGUCACUCGCUCAAAACAGUCCACUCUAUGGGGAACAUAUAUCUUUAUAGAGUGAGUCGUGUCCCACUCAGUCCUUCAGAGAAUCUUGGUUAUCCUUUGGUUUACCAUGAUUCUACCCUACCCUCAUAAGAACGAUUAACUCAUAGAGAUAUACACUGAGUAUACCAAACAUUAGGAAUACCUUCCUACUAUUCUAGGGUAGUGUAAUAGUUGUGUUACAGUGUGUAAAGCCAAUUUAAGUAAGUUGUGGGCAGUUCUGGAUCAGAUCAAGCUUACUUUACUGUCAAGACAGAGUAAGGUUUGUUUGAAGCCUGUUGUGGGAUAAAAGGGAGGUAUGUAAACUGUGGAUUAGGGUCGUUUUGUAGAGGGAUAUAACCCCCAGAAUGAGAUUGGAAUUUGGUUUUGGAAUUUGGUUUUGGACAGGCAUACCUGCACAUGCUAAUAUGUCUGCAUACCACAUGAGCACCCUAUAUUCCCUACAUAAUGCACUACUUUGACAUAAUACAGGUAAAACCCUGUCGGUGAUUCUCCAUCCCUCUCUCCCUACAUCCCUCUUUCCUUCUCACGCACAUUCCUCUUGCUAACUCCCCUUCUCUCUCUCUCCAUCACUAUCUAUUCUGUCUGUCUCUGGGUGCCUCAGUUGAGUAGCUCAGUUGCUGCAAUGAUACAUGAUCUGGUUUUCAAUGCUAGAGCAGUGCUGCUAGUUAGAGGGGGAAGGAAGAAACACUGUGCUAUGGUAUGAGAACUCAUACCAUAGCACAGACAGACAGUUAUCUACAAGCCCAGGAUCCACCAUAGAGAGAGAGUACAUUUUCUUCCUUAUAAUGUAUACCCUCCCCAUUUCUGGGCCCCAGAACCACCCUGUAACCCCACACCCCCCUUCCCAUCCCGCCCAUCCCGCCCUGCAUCCCAUAGCCCCCCUGUAUCCUUCCCCUCUCCUCAUUCUACAACCCAAAGCCAUGCUGUACCCCCUUUCCUUCCACCCCCCUUCUGCACCCCAAAGUCACCCUGCACUCCCAUCCCAUCCCCCUCUUCUGCACCCCUUUGCCCCCCCUUCUCCUCAGUGCCAUGUUCUCUCCGUUCAUCUGCCAGUGUCCUUCCUGUCUGUGGGGCCAAUGAGGUCAGCAGUUUGAUAAACACAUAAAGCAGCCAUGCUACACCAUGAAGGCCCCUGAUGGCCCCUGGUGGCCCAUGACACUAGUUCCCACAGCCGGCCUGUCUGUCACUCCAACUGACUGACAACAGUCACCCUCUUCACACCCCUCCCACCCCUUCAUCCCCAUCCCUGCCCCCCACCCUGGACAGUUGACAAUCCGUUAGAGAAGGGAUGGGCAUCUCUUUCUCUCCCUCUCUAUCUUCUCCCCCUUUCUGGCCCCCAGAGCCACCCUGAAGAGCCAAAAAGAAAUCAGAUAAUUCUGGAUCCUAUUUUAACAUCAAAAUAUCAAUCAUGCAUUUCCUGGAUAUGUUAGAUGAAAUAGCUUACUUUGUGAAUCAUAGGCUCCUAUCUCAGUUGUCCUACUUGGUACUGGAAUUUUAAAACAUGUAAAGUAGGCCUAACUGUCCAUACAAAAUGUAUAUAUUGUUGUACUUGUUGUUGUUGAGCAAAGUAGUUACAUUUAUCACAAUAUCACUUUUUCUCCAUAACGCCCAGCUCUAACACCUCCCCCCAAAAUGACUUAUGGUAAUUGUUCGCUGAUUUAUCAUUGUCACAAAAAAUGGGUAGAUUUAUUACGAUAUGGUUUUUUGUCCAUAUCACCCAUCUCUACCCUGAUGCCACCCUUCCCCUUGCAAAAUGACACAGAUGCUCCUGUGAAGCCAGAGCCCUAUACUACGAAUCAGGUUUGAGGAGUUAGCGAAGUAACUUUGGUCAACUCUGAAUUCAACUUGGGAUAACAGGUACCACAAAAGUGGUUAAACUUUUAGCCAGGUAUGUUUCUAUGGCAACCAAUCCUUCAGAACUAAUCUGCUCCAGGGCAGGCUAACUCAGGGCUAACUCCAAUUAUCCUGAAGGAAGUGUCUGAGCUGCGAGUUGAGGACCAAUUAAAUCAGAUUCAAGUCAAAUGUUUUAUUUGUCACAUGCGCCGAAUACAAGCCCUUAACCAACAAUGCAGCUUUAAGAAAAUAAAGUUAAGAAAAUGUUUACUGAAUAAACUAAAGUAAAAAAUAUCAAUGUAAAUAGUCCGGGUGACCAUUUUGAUUAGUUUUUCAGUAGUCUUAUGGCUUGGGGGUAGAAGCUGUUAAGGAGCCUUUUGGACCUACACUUGGCGCUCUGGUACCGCGUGCCAGCAGAGAGUGGGUGACUGUAGUCUUUGACCAUUUUUUGGUCCUUCCUCUGACACUGCCUAAUAUACAGGUCCUGGAUGGCAGGAAGAUUGGCCCCAGUGAUGUACUGGGCUGUACGCACUACCCUCUGUAGCACCUUACGGUCGGAUGCUGAGCAGUGAGCUAUUACCAUACCAGGAGGUGAUGACUUUUGAUUUUGGCACAAAUUAAAAUGUGGCACUGACAACCAUGGAUUGAUGUUUCAGCAUUGUCUCAAUGAAGAGUUCGGCAUUCGACUAGCCUCGUGCAACAUGCACGUGCAGUUACAAGCCUGCUAGAGUUAGCGACAUGCACUCACAGUUACAAGUCUGCUAGAGUUGGCGGCAGGCGGGCAAGCAAUAUCCACCGUCAUAGUACGGAUGAAGCCUGCGCUGGAAUGUGAAGUUAACUGAAGCUGGCUAGCUUUAGAAAACUCGGAGUAAAUCUAGCUUCCUUUGUAAUAUAUCCCUCUGGCAAGGUCCACCCAGUAUUGUGGAACCAUAGAAAACUAUUUUCUGGGUGACAUCCUGGGUAUAGAAAAAUUAUGAAUGUAUCCCUUCAAACUGUCUGUCAGCCCUGUGUAGUCACUCACUUCACAGCAGCAGGGAAAUUGAUUUAGUCACGCUCAGUCAGGCUGUUUCUCAAUUCUUAUUUCUGCAAUUCCUCACAUCCAGGCGAGGGCCUGCUUAUCAACCAUAUUAAAGGAGAAGGUCCCUCCACUCUGACCUUCAUUUCCAAUAGGUUUUGAGAAGGAGGUGAGGAGAGAGGAUACUAGGAAUUGAGGAAAGAUUAAUUGAGAAACUGCCUUUACUUCCCCUUCCUCCUCAAGGUUGAAGGUCAGUAUAGCACUACUCAUUAAGGCCAUUCCCAGCUCUUCCCCACUUUCCAUCCUCACCUCCAGGCCCAUGGCACCACGACCCUGGCUCCCAGAACCAAGAUUUGGCCUGGUCCUGGGCCUCACAGCAAGAAGAGGCAAGGUCUGGCUCCAGACACCGAUCUCCACCUCCAGGCCUAUUGCACCACAGCCUCAUCUCGCCCGUGUCCCAGCCGAAAGAUGAGGCCUGGUCCUGGGCCUCCCAGCCAGCUGAGGCAGGGCCCGGCUCCAGACAGCCAUCAGGGUAAUGCACUGACGCUAUUGUGAAGGCCAGAACCUUGAGGAGCUGCAUUAAACUGAGGAGAAUUAGGAGUAAACUUAGGAGGAGAAGAGAAGGCGGUUUGACAGGAGAUGAGAUAAUGUAAAGGAGGGCGAUAGCUUCAAAAACACAAACUCAUGUUCUCUGGGUGGAAAUUUUUUGUGCAGACACAAAAACAGAAAACAACUUGCCACAAGACACAGGUGGGAA